GGAGCCAAAUGUAGGGAAGCGGGGGUUCCAGGGAGAGGCCCAGAUGUGCAAUAGCCCCAGGGCAAGAAAAGAUCAUGGCUGGUUCAAGCAGAGAAAGGGCAAUGGUGACACAUACCAGAGAAGGUGGAGGGCUUGGGAGGAGAUGAAGGUAGCCGGGCUGGAGGAACCACGGUGUCUGGGACCACGGGGGUGGCGGAUAGGAAAAGAAGCCGGCUCCCUACAUUUUGGCUCUAUAACCAAGAGGAGCUGCUGACAGAUUGAUGUGGAGAUGAGAAAGGAAACAAGCCUUUACAGAGAAUUUCUAGGAGCAAAUGAACCAAAAUAAAAAGUAAACAACUUA